rnacentral:lncRNA from 10 species
GUUCCCCGCGGAGGUGGCAGCCCUGGGCCGCGGCGUUCCGGAACCCCCGCACCCACGGCGCGGUGCCCCACGGUGCCCGCGAGCGCCGCCCCCGCUGGCUAGCCGCGCCUCGCUCCGCCCUGGACGCCGCCGGUCCCGGCGCGGAGGUGCGGCGGGGAGUGGGAGCCGGCCCGGCUCAGUCUGAUUUACGGCUCUGCUGAAAACCGCUUCGCUCCCGCAGCAUCAGCACCGGAGGCGGCGGCUGCAGCAGCAGCAGCAACAAGUCGGGACUUUUAGAGUAAUGCAACAGAAGGCUUUUGAGGAAAGCAGAUAUCCCUGGCAGGAGUCCUUUGAGAAUGUUGCUGUGUGCCUGCCAUUACGCUGCCCGAGGUGUGGAGACCAUACCAGAUUUAGAAGCUUGUCAUCCUUGAGGGCCCAUCUGGAGUUCAGUCACAGCUACGAAGAAAGAACCCUCUUGACAAAAUGCAGUCUCUUUCCAUCCCUCAAAGACACAGACCUAGUCACUUCCUCAGAACUCCUGAAACCGGGAAAAUUGCAGAGCAGUGGCAACGUGGUAAAGCAGAAACCGAGCUAUGUUAACUUGUACAGCAUUUCACAUGAACAUUCCAAGGACAGGAAGCCAUUUGAGGUGGUGGCAGAGAGGCCUGUGUCCUAUGUGCAGACCUACACUGCCAUGGACCUCCAUGCAGACUCGCUGGAUGGGACACGGUCGGGUCCUGGACUGCCCACCUCAGACACCAAAGCUUCUUUCGAGGCACAUGUCAGAGAAAAAUUCAAUCGAAUGGUUGAGGCUGUGGAUAGGACCAUUGAGAAGAGAAUUGAUAAACUCACCAAAGAGUUGGCCCAGAAAACUGCGGAACUGUUGGAAGUUCGGGCAGCUUUUGUGCAGCUGACUCAGAAAAAGCAGGAAGUUCAGAGACGAGAGCGGGCCUUAAACAGACAGGUGGACGUGGCCGUGGAAAUGAUAGCUGUACUGAGGCAACGCCUGACGGAAUCUGAGGAGGAGCUUCUUAGGAAAGAAGAAGAAGUUGUCACAUUCAACCAUUUCCUGGAAGCGGCAGCUGAGAAGGAGGUUCAAGGGAAAGCCCGGCUCCAGGACUUUAUUGAGAAUCUGUUACAGCGGGUAGAACUGGCGGAGAAGCAGCUUGAGUACUAUCAGAGCCAGCAGGCCUCUGGCUUUGUCCGUGAUCUCAGCGGGCACGUGAGCUGGAAAGGUGCUGGCGAAGCUCGCCUGGUGUGCCAAAAUGACCUGGAAUUGGAGAUUUUUGGCCAUAUAAACCACCAUCUUUCGGGGUUGAAAGAUUCUCAUUGUCUAGUUUUUCUGCAAGCCCCACCUGUGCCCUGGAUCAUUUUAGCCAGCUUUCUCUGGAUUCUCGGAAAUCCCUGGACGUCUUCCACGGCUACUGCAGGAUUUAGCCAAAUUUGGGUGCUAUUUCCCUUUUGUGGAGGGACUUUUCAUCACAAUGAGAAGGACGUCUUAGGACUCCAGGACUUUGAGAGAGAAAGUGUCUCUACAAGUCAAAGCAGGAAUAUCAGCCUUCUUACACUAGGACAACUCCAAAAUUGUGUGAUUGGCAAAUUGACAAUCAUCGAUUUGUUGACUGAACACCUGUUAGGUGUAAGGCACGGUGUCAUAUGCUUUCCUUGGGGCUUGCCUUCAAGCAGCUAACAGAAAUAAGAAGAAAACAGGUGAAAAAGACAGUGUGAUAAGGCCAUGGUGGUGGAUUGUGGAUGCCCUGCCCUGUAUCCACUUGGGAGAGAGCCUCUACAACAUGCUGGCAACUUCCCCCUCACUGAUUCAAAUGUUAAUCUCCUUUGGCAACACCCUCACAGACACACCCAGGAUCAAUACGUUGUAUCCUUUGAUCCAAUCAAGUUGCCACUCAGUAUUAACCAUGACACCUUCUAAGCCAUCAUCUCCUCCUAAUCCUCCCAUAACAAUGGGUAUAAGUUAUGAAGGUGGGUUAGAAACUAGUGCCUAUCCCUCACUAAGUUGCCAGAUGGAUUUAACAGCACCUCAAAGUCAACAUGCCCCAAGUCAAAGUCUUCUUUACCCAUGGAAUAAGCUGGCUUGCUACUUCCCUACAUCUCUGAAGGGCUCCACCAUUCCUCUAGCAACCAUGCUCUCAAAGCUCAGAGGGAGGAAAAGGAAAUGGAUCUAAAUGGAAUUCCAGGUCCCACGCUGGAUAUUUUCACACCUUACCUCAUUUAAUACAACAAGCAAGGAGGUAGACAAUAUUGUCUACCUUUGCAAAUGAGGAAACAGAGGCUUAGAGAAGUUAAAUAAUUUGCCUGAGAAUAAAGCUAAAAGUAGCUUUAAAAUACUAGAGCUGGGAUUGCAAGUUUGAUGCAAAGUUUGUGCUCUCUUCAUCCUUCACCAAGAUCUUUCAUUUUCCCUUUAAAUAUCUCUUAUGUCUGCAUUUCCCUUCCAUUCCCAUCACUAGCACUGUCCUCUAAUGCCCCACCCAGUGGGGAAGUCUCCAAUAGGUCCCCCUGCUUAUAACAGCCAAGAGGGUAGCUAUAAACUAGGUCCAAUAACAUGCUUCAUGUGAGGGAACUGAUGGACAGCUGUCUAAUUCAUAACCUCUGGCCUCAACGGAAUUUACAGUUCAGAGUCCAAAAUAGCAAGGAAGUGGUGGGAAGAAGGUGAGAGAAAAGGGUGGGAGGGUGAGAGAGGGGAGGGAGGGGAAUAAGGUGUGGGCAGUAGAGGGAAUCUGUCAGUCUCAUGGUUUGCCCUAGGAAACCUUCUGCUCAGCCCCAGCCUGCUUCUGGGCACUCCUCCUCACCCCUCCUUGCUGUCCAUAUGGGUUCAAUGUGAGUAACCACAAUUGUAGAGUGUGGCCAUCUUCUUCUGACAUGGUCCUAAAUAAACCUAACUGAGUAGCCAGAAGAAUCACUUCUAAGGUAAACAUCUGUAAACAUUGGUUAUAUUUAUUUUCAAUAUUACUGGUUAACAUUGUGGAGCUAUUACUGAUGGGCCAGACUCUGUGCUAGGCACAGACUUUCUAGGGAUUAUUUCAUUUAAUUCUCAUGGCAACCACCAUGCAUUUGCAGAUAGGCAAGUCAGGCUCACAAAAAUGUAUGCAGAGCUUCAGGGUUGUGAUGGGUAGAGCCAAACCCAUCUGCCCAACCCAAGGGCCCGUGCGCUCCAACCCUGCAUCGAACUGCCAACAUAGUACACCUUUUAGAAAAAGAUUCUUGUUGCAAAAGUACCAUAGGCAGUGUGUGUGUAAGGUCAUUGUAAAAGUGUAGAUAAGCAAGAAAGUGUUAUACCACCACUCAGAAGUAACCACUGUUAACAUGUUGGCUUAUCUGCUCUCAGGUGUUUCUGUGCCUGUACAUACUAUUCUUCUUGAAUAAAAACAGGAUUACACAGUGU